rnacentral:rRNA from 1 species
CCUACGGAGGCAGCAGUGGGGAAUAUUGGGCAAUGGAGGCAACUCUUACCCAGCAACGCCGCGUGAAUGAUGAAGGUCUUCGGAUUGUAAAGUUCUGUGACGGGGGAUGAACACAAUGACGGUACCCCAAUAGCAAGCCACGGCUAACUACGUGCCAGCAGCCGCGGUAAUACGUAGGUGGCAAGGGUUAUCCGGAAUGACUGGGGGUAAAGGGUGCGUAGGUGGUUUAGUAAGUUGGCGGUGUAAUUCCGGGGCUCAACCUCGGCGCUACCGCCAAAACUAUUAGACUAGAGUGCAGGAGGGGUAAGUGGAAUUCCUAGUGUAGCGGUGGAAUGCGUAGAUAUUAGGAGGAACAUCAGGGGCGAAGGCGAGUUACUGGACUGUAACUGACACUGAGGCACGAAAGCGUGGGGAGCAAACAGGAUUAGAUACCCCGGUAGUC